GGGGGUUUAGCUCAGUGGUAGAGCGCUUGCCUAGCAAGCACAAGGCCCUGGGUUCGGUCCCCAGCUCCG
rfam:Rattus norvegicus chromosome 11, whole genome shotgun sequence.